GAUGAACGCUGGCGGCAUGCCUUACACAUGCAAGUCGAACGGUAACGCGGGGCAACCUGGCGACGAGUGGCGAACGGGUGAGUAAUGUAUCGGAACGUGCCCAGUUGUGGGGGAUAACUGCUCGAAAGAGCAGCUAAUACCGCAUACGACCUGAGGGUGAAAGCGGGGGAUCGCAAGACCUCGCGCAAUUGGAGCGGCCGAUAUCAGAUUAGGUAGUUGGUGGGGUAAAGGCUCACCAAGCCAACGAUCUGUAGCUGGUCUGAGAGGACGACCAGCCACACUGGGACUGGGAAACGGCCCAGACUCCUACGGGAGGAAGCAGUGGGGAAUUUUGGAAAAUGGAGGCAAGUCUGAUCCAGCCAUGCCGCGUGCGGGAAGAAGGCCUUCGGGUUGUAAACCGCUUUUGUCAGGGAAGAAACGCUCUGGGUUAUACCUCGGGGUAAUGACGGUACCUGAAGAAUAAGCACCGGCUAACUACGUGCCAGCAGCCGCAGUAA
rnacentral:rRNA from 1 species